rnacentral:rRNA from 1 species
GACGAACGCUGGCGGCGUGCUUAACACAUGCAAGUCGAGCGGAAAGGCCACUUCGGUGGUACUCGAGCGGCGAACGGGUGAGUAACACGUGAGUAAUCUGCCCCUGGCUUUGGGAUAGCCACCGGAAGCGGUGAUUAAUACCGGAUACGACCACUUCUCGCAUGGGAUGGUGGUGGAAAGUUUUUUCGGCCAGGGAUGUGCUCGCGGCCUAUCAGCUUGAUGGUGAGGUAAUGGCUCACCAUGGCCUCGACGGGUAGCCGGCCUGAGAGGGUGACCGGUCACACUGGGUCUGAGACACGGCCCAGACUCCUACGGGAGGCAGCAGUGGGGAAUAUUGGACAAUGGGCGGAAGCCUGAUCCAGCAACGCCGCGUGAGGGAUGACGGCCUUCGGGUUGUAAACCUCUCUCAGCAGGGACGAAGCGCAAGUGACGGUACCUGCAGAAGAAGCACCGGCCAACUACGUGCCAGCCGCCGCAGUAA